UCUGUGCCAGCUGUAACUGCGUUUAAAACGGCGUUUUAUUGAAAUUAUGCAGGGCACUCCCCAUGGUUCCCUCAUCCAAUUACUUUCAACUCAUUUCACCCAAUCAAAGAAGAGGAAGUGCAGACCACACUAAUGCAUCACCGAUUCACCUUGCUGCUAAGUGAUUGCCUAUUCGGUACCAGUGCUUGUUACCCACUAUGCAUUUUGAUGUGUUUAAAGCAUGAUCAAACAAGCAAACGACGGAAUGCUUUUUCUGAAACAAGACCUUAACUUUGUGGCGCAUGGGUCGCUUGUUUACUUGAGGGAUCAGCUAUUAGCGCUGCGCUACCGCAGUGUAGCAUUAUGAUGCUAACGGAGUCCUGGCUAACACCGCAAACUCCGAACAUGAGUGUGGAGCUGCCCGGCUUCCAGAUGCUGCGGGCGGACAGGACGAGAGACAGCGGUGAGAGGAAAGGAGGGGGACUGGGCAGUGUUUGUUAAAGACAACUGUGGGACCCCUGGGCACAUUGCUGUGAAAGAACAACUCUGCAACAGAGACAUUGAGCUAUUAGCCGUUAGCAUCCGUGGAGGCAGCCUGUGACUCUCUGUGGUCCGCAGACUGCAAACGCAAUCUCCGAGAGCUCUUCUUCUAAUAUCAGGGGACUUUAAUCAUGUCUCGCUGGACUCCACACUGCCCACCUUCACCCAAUAUGUGACCUGCCCCACCGUAGGCAAUAAAACAUUGUACUUGUAUGCCAGUGCAGAAGAGGCAUACAGUUCAUCUUCAAGAUCUGAUCGUAACCUAGUGUUUCUUGUCCCUGUGUGCAGUGCAGAGAUGGUUCGCGGAGGGCAUAAUCAAGCAAAUAAAUGACAGAAUGCUUUUUAUUUCAUGUCGACGUGCAAUUUAUGUAUAGUUGACCGGGAAAUUAAAGCAGCGAUCACUUGGACUAUUCCGUAGCACCCCUCUCACAGUGGUACAUCCCUCCAGGUAACCAUUCACAAGUCUUGUACAGUAGAGCGGGACAUUACGUUUACUCUCAGCGGAAUUCACCCGAGAAGGCAUAUAAGUUCCUGCACUGCACUGGCCUGCACCACGAUUAGUAUAAGGUGGAAUAAUGCACGAAUGGAUAAAAAAGAGUGAGAGGUCAGUGGAGAUCCGUGUCCAGGGGAGUGAUGCUAUUGCGAGUGUGAAAGGUUGUCCAGGAAGUAACUAAGAAGACAUGAACAGAGAGGUGGUGAUCCUCAGAGGAGCGAUGAAGUAGAGCAGCCAGCGCUCCAAGUAGAGCAGGCACUGUGGAAAAAUAGUUGUGACUCAACCAGACCAUUACAAAGUAUGGCCUGGAGGAUUUUCAUCUCAAGGUGCAAGAACAUUCUUAAUGACUGUACACGGCGGCUGCUGAUGGACGAUGUUGGGCCAGAUGUGCUACAGUUAGCGUUAAGGAGGUUGGAGACAAUGCAGAGAAGCCUUCGGUGGGCAAGAGGAAGACUGAUCAAUGUAACUGCAGCAGAUCAACUUCUGCGUGACUUGGCUGAAUUGAUUCAGGAGGUCGAACUGUCUACUCAGGAUGGCCAACAAGGCUGUUUUGGAUACCAGGCACCAGUGGUUUUCAACAGAGGUAGAGGAAGAUCCCUUUACCUUAUCACUCGGGAACAGCUUUCAUUCCUGAAGUCAUGUGGAUUCACUGCACCUCAGAUGGCUGAUAUUUUGAAUGUUUCACUUCGUACAAUUCGAAGACGUCUGCGACAGUAUCAUUUCACCCGUGCAUCAAUGUAUGCGGAACUGACUGACAGUGCCUUGGAUGAACAUGUGCAGGACAUUGUUGCUGGCAAUGAACAAAUUGGUCCUGAGGCUGUCAGAGCCUCCCUGCGAGUACGUGGACUACGUGUACAGCAAAGGAGGGUUGGAGCAAGCAUGUUACGGAUGAAUCCUGGAGCAGCUGCCCUUAGAGCAGUUUUGCGGAGACCAGAAUGAAGAACAUAUCAGGUUGCAGGUCCAAACUCAUUGUGGCACAUUGAUGGAAAUCACAAGCUAAUACGGUGGAGGAUAGUCAUUCAUGGGGCUAUUGAUGGAUACAGUCGUCUUGUGGUCUUCCUUCAUGCCUCAAACAACAACCGUAGCAGUACCGUUUUAUCAAGUUUCAUCAGACCCGUGGUAUCCUAUGGUGUACCCUCGAGGGUCCGGACAGACAGAGGAGGGGAAAACAAUGCUGUCUGCCUGAUGAUGAACAUUUUCAGAGGCUUUGAUCGUGGAAGUGCCCUACGAGGAAGGAGUACCCAUAAUCAGAGAAUUGAGAGGCUCUGAGGUGAUCUGUGGUGAGGAAUGCCCAAUGUCUACUGUGAUUUAUUUCACCACCUGGAGGAGGAAGGCAUCAUUGACAUUGACAAUGAAAUGCACCUUUGGGCUCUCCAUUACAUCUAUCUCCCAAAGAUCAACAGAGAUUUGAAAGACUUCACUCAACAGUGGAACAAUCAUGGCUUGCGGACAGAGAGACACUUGAGCCCUUUACAGAUUUUUGUCCGAGGCAGCCUCCAGCAACAGGGCCGAGCCUCAACUGCCAUGCAGGACAUCUUUCAGACUAGAGCAGCUGCUGCUGCUGGGACUAUUGGUGGGACAGCUGAUGGUAGUGUGACAGCCACUGAGAAUGAGACGACUGCUGCUCAGGGCUUAAGUACGGACUCUGGUGGUGGUGGUGCUCAUGGUACAGAUGAGCUGGGACUGCUAGUCGACUGGCCUGAGAGGAUUAAUGUGCCAGACAUUGAAUUUACUCUGGACGGACCAAUGAUGGAGCAAGUGGUAGAACUAUUUAAUCCACUAACUGGCACCAGAGGGAGUCAUGGUAUUGAACUCAUCUCUGGCUUAAUAUACUUUCUGGACUCCACAUAUCACUGACACAGUUCAAUUAAUGACUGAAACAUAAUAGCAGCAAGUGGAAAGACUUCAAAAUAUCUAGGUGACUGGAUACAUAUAAUGUGAAAAGUUAUAAUACGUGUUUACUAUGUACCAUUGAGUAGUGGAGAUACAAGAACGAGCUGUGUGACACUGACAAUAAAAAAAUGUUGAGUGAUUUUUAAAGUGUAUAAGAUGGAAGUUGUGAAAUGGAAAGUAUACAACUGAAACUGAAUCUCGAUAAAGUCAACUUGAUUAAUCUAAAAGUUACAGCUGUUGAUAUUGAUAAAUACAACUAUAAGGCAGUGACAGUAAAUAAUUAAAAAAUAAAAAAGUGUAUAGUAGGUCUUGAAGUGGCUCAGUAUAGUGUAGUAGAUAUAAAGUGGUUUAGCGUGUGUUUGAUGUUGUGACAGUUCACACCGAGCACAUUAUGUUUUGCUUUGUACAGAUUAUGCUUUGUACAAACAUAGUUCUGAAAAUACUGGACUCCAGUGUAAAAUGUGAAUAAAAAAAAGAGCAAGCAGUGAUUUGCAAAUGUCAAAGGCAAAGUUUAUUCACAGUAGAACAUAGAAAACAUGUCAAAUGUUUACACCGAGACUAUGUCGUUAAAAAUAAGUCCAUUUUAAUUUGAUGGCAGCAAUAUGUUUCAAAACAGUUGGGAUGGGGCAAGAGAAGGCUGGAAAAAGUGGUACUAAAAAGAAACAGCUGCAGGGAUAUUUUUUAAAAGUAACAGGUCAGUUACAUGAUUAGAUAUUAAAAGCAUCUUAGAGAAGCAGAGUUGCUCUGGAGGAAAUAUGGGCAGAGGUUGAUCAAUCUGCAAAAAAACUCCAUUAACAAAUUGUGCAACAAUUUCAGAAUAAUGUUCCCAAAUGUAAAGUUGUAAAGACUUAAAAUAUUCCAUCCUCUAGAGGCAUAAAAAUAUAUUUUAUCAAAAGAUUCAGUGACUGGAGAAAUCUCUUUGCAGAAACAAUGAGGCUAAAAGCCAUGAUGUCAGUGAUCUUCAAACGCUCACAGGAAAGUUAUCAUCAUGGAGCAUUAAACAGACACGAUUCUCUCAUGGAAAUCAGUGCAUUUCCUGUAUCCUUUGGGGCAACAGACCUGAGUCACACUUUUAGAGAGGUACCUGAUGAGGUGGAUUGAGAGGAAUAUCCAUGAUGCAUGGCAGUUUGUUCACUCACUUCCUCUCCACCACAGCUUCCGAA